rnacentral:lncRNA from 1 species
AGGAAGGGUCUCGGGCCCCUCACCGCGUGUAGGCAAUGCGUUGCCGGCACGCCACACCGGCCCUCCAAAAGAGCCCUGUUCAUAAACAGGCAAAGUAAACAAUCAAAGGAGGCUGGAAGACUGGGAAUAUAUCUGCAAGGCAGAACGAAGAAUUAAGGAAGAAUAUGCUUCAUAGGUAUGAGAUUAAACAAAAUUACUUUUAAUAUCCCUUCCAAAUCUUACUCUUGAUAUAGAU